GAGAAGCUCCACGCUGUGUGUCGAUCGGUUUACCGCGUGGACGGCGAAUCUGUCCGGUCGUCGAAACCGCGUGAGCGGAGAGAAACCCGCCGCCGGGGAUAAUAUCCGUUCCCGGACAUCGCGACUUCACGACGUCGGCUUCGUUGAGCCGCAGAUUGGGCCGGCCAAAUAGGAUUCGCUUCCAGAAAAACUCCACACGAAAAGCCACAACAUCCUGCUGCCGCGGUAAUUCCGGCGUGUUGGCCAACCAGCAAGGUCACGGCAAACGGAUCCCGCAUCGAAGAACAAGCUGACAAAUUUGGCCACGGACGGAACAAAGACCGGCGGGAAAGAAAGACGCUCGACGGUGCGAAACACCAGUGGCACGACGAGCACGCGCGCAGGAAGACCCGAAUCGCAACGAAGAACCACAGAUCAGCGCGAUUCCGGCAGCAGACACGGAACGCAAGAGAAGCCCAGAGGUGCGAUUAAAAGCAGGCGCAGCCGCCAGAAGAUACACCGGCAUCGGCAGCUCACGACUCCCACAUCAUCGGGCUCGGCCCGAACGGAAUCCGCGCGGAAGAAGACGCAAAAAAGGCCCCAAAAAAGGGUGAGUGCCACGCCAAAGACGCCAUCUUGAACGGGAUACUAAUGUUGGUUUCUGCAGGGCCUUUUGUGUGGAGUUUUCGCUCGACGGGCGCAGCAUCGCACGGAGCAAGUGGCAAUCGGCCAGCAUCGCCGUCGGACACUGUGACCAGCGGCGGAUCGGCUGGGCGAGCGGACAUCGGCCGAAAUCACUGUCGAACGUUGUGCCUACGGCGUUUCGGCGGAGCGGUGAGUGGAAGACAUUCAUCACAUCGGCUCGGAGAAGUCGUGUGCCAGCGAGCCGGAUUUGAAGAACGGCGACGUGCGCCGAGGAGCAGCAUCGCCAAGGGCGGUGGCGGAAGAACACAGCUGGAUGAGCGGGCUGAGCAGCACGCGAAGGGGGUAGGAAGAACAGUGGCGCCACUGGUAAGAAGAAAACCGCGCAUGUCUCGCGCUUAGAUAUUAAGAGAAAGUCAAGGCUUGCUAGGAAAGUUUAGGCUACGGUAAAGAACAUGAAGCCCGAGGGGCAACGUGGGGUGUUGGUACGGUAAAUACAAGCAUGUGAGCCAAAAUGUUUGCUUUGUUGGGUAUUUUAUUGAGCUAGCCGGAA